AGAGCGAACGCUGGCGGCAGGCCUAACACAUGCAAGUCGAACGGACCCUUCGGGGUUAGUGGCGGACGGGUGAGUAACACGUGGGAACGUGCCUUUUGGUUCGGAAUAGCUCCUGGAAACGGGUGGUAAUGCCGAAUGUGCCCUUCGGGGGAAAGAUUUAUCGCCAUUAGAGCGGCCCGCGUCUGAUUAGCUAGUUGGUGAGGUAAUGGCUCACCAAGGCGACGAUCAGUAGCUGGUCUGAGAGGAUGACCAGCCACAUUGGGACUGAGACACGGCCCAAACUCCUACGGAGGCAGCAGUGGGGAAUCUUGCGCAAUGGGCGAAAGCCUGACGCAGCCAUGCCGCGUGAAUGAUGAAGGUCUUAGGAUUGUAAAAUUCUUUCACCGGGACGAUAAUGACGGUACCCGGAGAAGAAGCCCCGGACUAACUCGUGCCAGCAGCCGC
rnacentral:rRNA from 1 species